rnacentral:lncRNA from 1 species
GGGUUAUGCAUUGAUAUUCUGACUAUUAUUUAGCUCAUGAUUCUAUUUUCGGCUCGUCAUAGGAUGUAAAUAUGGUAUUCCAACCCCACAUAAGAUAUAAAUAUGGUAUUCUAACUCACUGCAUAGGGUAUAAAUAUAAUUCUAUUUUCGAUCUAGCCAUAAGGUAUAAGUGUACUCAAAGUUAAAGGCUAAUGAGUUGAAUGGAAUCUAUUUUGAAUUGGAUUGUCAAAUAUGAUUGGUUUUGAAUCAGAAUUAUAAUUACGUGUAUGAAUAUUUAAAAGAUAAUGGAAUUAUUGGAUUUAUAUUUUGAAAAUGAAUUGAUUAUGCUUUUACAUUGAUUAAUGAUAAAUUAUAUUUUGACUAUUGUAUCUUAUAUUAUCACAUGAAUUAUCUAAUUAGGAUAUUCAUUACUUACU